UAAUAGCGUAUAUUAAAGUUGUUGCAGUUAAAAGCUCGUAGUCGGAUGUCGGGUUCGGGCAGGCUGUCGGCCUCUGGUCGGAUGGCAGGCUCGGAUCUUCUUGCCUGGGGGCUCCGUCACACUUGACUGUGGGGCGGCAGGUCGCAGGCCGUUUACUUUUGAAAAAAUUAGAGUGUUCAAAGCAGGCCUACGCUUGAAUACAUUAGCAUGGAAUAAUGGAAUAGGACUUUGGUGCUAUUUUGUUGGUUUAUGGGACCGAAGUAAUGAUUAAUAGGGACAGUUGGGGCCCGUUUAUAUUCGUUGUCAGAGGUGAAAUUCUUGGAUUUACGAAAGAUUAAACUUCUGCAGAAAGCAUUCGCAAGGAUGUUUCAUUGAUCAAUGAACGAAAGAUUAUGGGGGAUCGAAGACGAUUAGAU
rnacentral:rRNA from 1 species